UAUAUGUAUGUAUGUAUGUAUGUAUGUGUGUUUGUUUUCGGUCACACUUGACCCACACCCCCUGAACCAAAGGGACAUGCACUUCUCGACUGUCUGUACCUGGCCAGUGCGGAAAGCAGCCGACUGAAGGGUAACGUAUUUUCGGACGAAUGCAGGACUAAAGACACCAGAAGAUAUCACACCACAAAAAUACCAGAUGAUCUCAGUAUAUAGUGAAGAAACCCCCAAGCAUCAAAAAAAGAAAAAUGAAGUGCUUUAUAAAUAAAAGACUGGUCAAAUACACCUCUAUCUACCAUAUAUGGACAAUUAAGUUAACAGUCAGCUAAAAACCACUAGCUGAACCAGGAUAAAUUGUCAUUUAAUUUCAACUUGGUUACUCUGUAAAAACAACUGCAUUAUUGCUGUAUAACAUUUACAAUGUGCAUAACCUUGCUCAACUGUUGAACCAACAACAAAUAAAUGGCAGCAAACAACAUAAAGGCAAGGAAAAAACAAAUUAGUAAAGAAAUUAAGUUACACAGCAACUACGCACUGGGUAAACAAAUUCCUUGUGAGUACCAUUCAUAAUCUGGGUUACUAACACUGCAUCCUAACUAAGGCACAUGUAAUUCAAAACAACAUGUUCAAAGUCUGCCCUAUCAAUUUUGUUCGGUGUCUGGGUACCAAUACUAAUCCUGACACAGCAAUAUUUGAGAAAUCGGUUACUGUCCAUUCAGUAGGUUUUGUGAAAAACAACAUCCAUAAAAACAACUGGAUCUAUGGCAACUACUGGUGUACCAUGGGGCAAUGCAAUCCAUGGAACAGAGAAGCUAGCAGUUCCUAUUUCCAGUAAAGUGAAGCUUACUAAAGGGUGACAACCAGCAGUAAGGGUAAUCAAUAACAUAAAUGGACACUACUGGUGUCACUACUCCAAAUUUUUGUUUUACGUCUCAUACGCAUAGCACUGUGGAACACAUUAUCGCAAUCCCUAUCUCAGUAUUUUAAAACACUCAGCCUACUGCUAAUAAUGAUAUAAGUGGUUACUGUAAUUGCCCAAAUAAAAGUGGGUUGCUAUCUGCAGUACCACAAGGGCCAACCUACAACAACAAAUUGGAAAAAAAUGGUUAUGCUUGAAUAUAAAGUGCUGUUAUAUGUAUACAUACAUACUAUACAUAUAUGCCUAUAUACACGACAAAUAUCUGUGCCAUAUCCGUAUUAUUCAUAUAUAUUAAUGAUUUGGAAGUGCCUCUAAGGCUCAAUCAUAAUACUACCUUCCUCAGUCAAGGUCCCGGACCUAACAUUCCCAGGCCGACAUAUUCUUCUGGGAUUGGUAGUCUGGUUUACCAUACUUAUUGCUGGAGCCUUAAUAUUUGCUUGUAUUUGCUAUCUGCCCCCUGUUAUAGCGGGGUAUACACAAGUGAAUGUUAUUGUACCCAAGCCAGACGUUUAGGCCUCGGGGGGACGUGAAUAAAUUGAACAACUGUCUUGUCAAGCUUGAACGAAAUUUAAAAAUUGCAAAUGUUAGGCCUCAAACUUCCGUGUACUUCAAAAUGUGAGCCUUGCAAAAAUAAAGCUUACACUUGUGGCUUGUGCUCAGGACGCGCUGCUACCAGAUAGCAAUUUCUGCUGACUCCUACGUAUUUAUCAACCCCAGAUUACCCACAAUCAAGAUCUAAUUGGCUACGGAGAAUAAAUAGGCCUCAAUUAUAUGAACAACUAACAAUUGGACAUAAAAAUUAAAUACGCAUCAAUUAUACAAUUAGGGCAACCACAUAAACAAUGUGGCUCACCUUGAUUGGUUGGUCUGUUCUAAAACACGGCGGUCAGACCAGAUAAAAAGGACGAAGGCAUGGGACUGUGGGGGGGGGGGGGGGGGUGUGCGCGUUUUCGGUCACACCUGACCCACACCCCCUGAACCGAAGGGACGUGCACUUCUCAACUGUCUGUACCUGGCCAGUGCAGAAAGCGGCCGACUGAAGGGUAACGUAUUUUCGGACGAAUGCAGGGUAAGUCUAUGGAGUAAAGAAGUCUGGUCGCUCGAGUCGAAUUGAUCAUAGCCGUAUCGAUACCAUAGUAUAAAGUCGAUAGUAGGUAGCUGAUGCAUAAUAGCUUUGCAUGUAUUUGUGCUUGUCUUUUAAGCAGUCUGAGCAGAUGCAUGUGGUGCUGUCAUUCAUCAGCUUUAUGUUGCCUUUGAAAUAGUUUGUCACCAGGAAUACAAAGCUGGUGAAUAAGAGCCUUACUUAUGCUUGUCUUCGGGGCUUUUAUUAUGACUUGCCAGGACCAGCAUAUGUAGAGUAAUUCUUAUUCAGUGCUGGUCUUUGGUUUUCCUUUUUCUGUUUUGUUUAUGCUAUUCAAAAAUCAUUAAAAGUCUUUUUUGAG